GUUCUGUUUUUGUGUCCAUACCAUGUGAGCACUAUCCUGAGAUUCCAAGAUGGUCAGCGUCCGGUCGAUCCAGCCUCGAAUUCAAACAAGUGAUCAUCAUUCAAAAUCCUACAUCUCCCAUAAUUGCUCUUCUUUCUUGAGCUAGUAAGCUUCAUCCAGCCAAGUCAUAUUCUAAGCCAUCCAAACAAUAAUGGAUGCUUCCAAACAUCAUAGGAAGCAUCCACAAAGACUGCCUGCAUCCAUCAAUUUGUCUCCUGAUAUCACAAAUAAGUAAAUAGAACAACACAAAUUGUAAGUUGAGGUUUGUGCAUCAAAUCUCAAUAUCUACUGUCCACUACUCUCAAAAGAUUUCUGCAAUAUGCUACACUUCAAACUUCCCUCUCCAUUAUAUGAUUCUCCGCUCCAGAUCUGUUUUUAUAAAACGGCACAAAACCGAUAAGAAGGUUUGUGCAUCAAAACCCAAUAUCUACUGUCCACUACUAUCAAAAGAUUUCUGCAAUACGCUACAUGUGAAACUUCCUCCUUAUGCUUUAUUUGAUUCUCCACUCCAUGAACUGUUUUUAUGAAGCAGCACAAAACCAAUAAAAAGGUUUGUGCAUCAAAACUCAAUCUCUACUGUCCACUACUCGCAAAAGAUUUCUGCAAAACGCUACACUUCAAACUUCCUUCUCCAUUAUAUGAUUCUCCACUCCAUGAACUUUCUAUGAAGCAGCACAAAACCGAUUAAAAAGGUUUGUGCAUCAAAACUCAAUAUCUACUGUCCACUACUCCCAAAAGGUUUCUGCAAUGCGCUACACUUCAAACUUCCUUCUCCAUUAUGAUUCUCCAGUCCAUGAACUGUUUUUAUGAAGCACACAACCGAUAAAAAUAAAAGUGAAUACAAAACCAUUGUUCAAAUAUCUUCAGAAAAUGUCCCAGCAAAACUCUAAACUGAUGCAGGCAUUCAAUAGUCAAAGUUAUUAAACAAAUGAAUAACCGCAAAAGUAACACAAUUAUAUAUUAAAUAUUGGAUGGAUGGCUUGUAUUAUAUUAAAGGCUAUGUACAGCAAAUUUAGAUGCCAGCCAAAGGAGGAUGGCUUGCCCCUGCUGAGUCUGGUUCCUCCCAAGGUUUCUCCCUAUACCUCUCUGCUGAUGAUGCUUCUCUUCACUAAUUUAGGGAGUUUUUCCUUGCCACUGUUGCCUUCUGGCUUGCUCACUGGGGUAUUAAGGCACAAUAUU
ensembl:lncRNA